rnacentral:rRNA from 1 species
GUAGGUGGCAAGCGUUAUCCGGGAAUUAUUGGGGCGUAAAGCGCGCGUAGGCGGUUUUUUAAGUCUGAUGUGAAAGCCCACGGGCUCAACCGUGGGAGGGUCAUUGGAAACUGGAAAACUUGAGUGCAGAAGAGGAAAGUGGAAUUCCAUGUGUAGCGGUGAAAUGCGCAGAGAUAUGGAGGAACACCAGUGGCGAAGGCGGCUUUCUGGUCUGUAACUGACGCUGAUGUGCGAAAGCGUGGGGAUCAAACAGGAUUAGAUACCCUGGUAGUCCACGCCGUAAACGAUGAGUGCUAAGUGUUAGGGGGUUUCCGCCCCUUAGUGCUGCAGAUAACGCAUUAAGCACUCCGCCUGGGGAGUACGACCGCAAGGUUG